rnacentral:rRNA from 1 species
CGGAGGGUGCAAGCGUUAUCCGGAUUUACUGGGUUUAAAGGGUGCGUAGGUGGGUAGGUAAGUCAGUGGUGAAAUCUUCAAGCUUAACUUGGAAACUGCCAUUGAUACUAUUUAUCUUGAAUACUUUGGAGGUAAGCGGAAUAUGUCAUGUAGCGGUGAAAUGCUUAGAUAUGACAUAGAACACCAAUUGCGAAGGCAGCUUACUACACAGUUAUUGACACUGAGGCACGAAAGCGUGGGAUCAAACAGGAUU